AUGUUUGUGAAGGAGCAGCAGCAGAAGUUUCCUCCUGGUGAGAUGGACACACCGGAAUGGUGUGUCCAGGGUUUAAGAGCACAACUCAGUGAGUGUUUGAAUCACAAGUGUUCAGCUUGGUGGUAUAGGAAAGCUCAAAUUCAACACAAGAAAAAUGACAAGAAUUCUGCAAAACCAGACUGCAAUGGAAUAGAAGGCAAGUUGCAGGCUGCCUUUGAUUGCUUCAUUCAACAAAUUACAUGAGCCCAGUUCUCUGAAGUCCUUACAACAGGGAACUAGAUAAAAUGCUUGGUCUUUUUGUGACUUCCAGUCUGCUGGGGAAACACCACUAGGAACUAAUUUGGAGUGUGGUUGUAGAAGAUGUGACAGAGAAGGGUAAUGCAGAGCGUUACCAGGGUUCAGGACAGCAUCACAAUCAUUAAUGUUGGUCAGUCAGGACCUCACUUGGAAGGGGACUUGUGAGAGGAGCCUGAAGGUAAAGGAGGAAAAGGAGCACAGCAGAGGGCACAGCCAGAGCAAAAGCCCUGUGGCAAAAGCAGGCCUUAGGCAGCAUGGUGGAGAGAAGGGGACAGAGGACAGAAGCCCAUUGGGGGGUUAAAGUGGGGAGUGGCAUCGUCUGGCAUUGCUGCUGCUGUGGUAAGAAUCAGUGGAAGGUAAACACCAGACAAAAACCAAAACUCCCAGUUCGCAA
rnacentral:lncRNA from 1 species